GAUGAACGCUGGCGGCGUGCUUAACACAUGCAAGUCGAACGAGAAGUGGAGACGGAAACCUUCGGGCGGAAGACUUUAUUUCGAGUGGCGGACGGGUGAGUAACGCGUGGGUAACCUGCCUCAUACAGGGGGAUAACAGUUGGAAACGACUGUUAAUACCGCAUAAGACCACAGCACCGCAUGGUGCGGGGGUAAAAACUCCGGUGGUAUGAGAUGGACCCGCGUUCGAUUAGCCAGUUGGCGGGGUAACGGCCCACCAAAGCGACGAUCGAUAGCCGAUCUGAGAGGCUGACCGGCCACAUUGGGACUGAGACACGGCCCAAACUCCUACGGGAGGCAGCAGUGGGGAAUAUUGCACAGUGGGGGAAGCCCUGAUGCAGCGACGCCGCGUGAGUGAAGAAGUAUUUCGGUAUGUAAAGCUCUAUCAGCAGGGAAGAAAAUGACGGUACCUGAGUAAGAAGCCCCGGCUAACUACGUG
rnacentral:rRNA from 1 species